UCUUAGAAGCCUAGCCCCAAACUCACGGCAACAAGGACGGUAAGCCGGCAACGAGGAUGGCCAUGACUCAAGAAUUUGUUGUUACUUCCCAAGAGCUUAUCACUCGGGGUUCAGUUCUGGAUAUUAUUGUGGAGAUGCUGCUGAUAUUGCUAAUACUGAAUCGUCGAGUGUUGCAAGAGAAGCUGCAAUACCUAGUGCUCUUUGUGCAAUACAUAAUGAAAUUACCCAUAUUGGUCUAUUUAUAAUGCUCUUUGUGCUCAUGUGGAUGACUUUGUUGCUGGCAUUUUCUGUGUGUCUGUCCGAGCUUGUAUAGAAAACUUAUUUGCUUGUGAAGGUGGUCAUAUUUUUAUUUUUUUAAAUUGAACAAAAUGUUGGAACUCUAGUGUUGAAGAUGCUUUGUGGUGACUAUUCUUUGAAUGG